rnacentral:rRNA from 1 species
GAUGAACGCUAGCGAUAGGCUUAACACAUGCAAGUCGAGGGGCAGCACAAGGUAGCUUGCUAUCUGGGUGGCGACCGGCGCACGGGUGCGUAACGCGUAUGCAACUUGCCCUAUACAGGAGGAUAACCCGUCGAAAGACGGACUAAUACUGCGUAUGCUCACAACUUGGCAUCAAGUGGUGAGGAAAGAAAUUCGGUAUAGGAUAGGCAUGCGUCCCAUUAGCUUGUUGGUGAGGUAACGGCUCACCAAGGCAACGAUGGGUAGGGGAACUGAGAGGUUUCUCCCCCACACUGGUACUGAGACACGGACCAGACUCCUACGGGAGGCAGCAGUGAGGAAUAUUGGUCAAUGGGCGCGAGCCUGAACCAGCCAAGUCGCGUGAAGGAUGACUGUCUUAUGGAUUGUAAACUUCUUUUAUACGGGAAUAACAAGAGUCACGUGUGACUCCCUGCAUGUACCGUAUGAAUAAGCAUCGGCUAACUCCGUG